rnacentral:rRNA from 1 species
GACGGAAGGUGCAAGCGUUGCUCGGAAUCACUGGGCGUAAAGGGUGCGUAGGCGGCUGUGCAAGUCUGGCGUGAAAGCCCCGGGCUCAGCCCGGGAAGUGCGCUCGAAACUGCACGGCUCGAGUGCCGGAGGGGAGAGUGGAAUUCCUGGUGUAGCGGUGAAAUGCGUAGAUAUCAGGAGGAAUACCGGUGGCGAAAGCGGCCCCCUGGUUGGAUACUGACGCUGAGACGCGAAAGCGUGGGGAGCAAACAGG